GAUGAACGCUGGCGGCGUGCCUAAUACAUGCAAGUCGAGCGAACAGAUGAGGAGCUUGCUCCUCUGACGUUAGCGGCGGACGGGUGAGUGACACGUGGAUAACCUACCUAUAAGACUGGGAUAACUUCGGGAAACCGGAGCUAAUACCGGAUAAUAUAUUGAACCGCAUGGUUCAAUAGUGAAAGACGGUUUUGCUGUCACUUAUAGAUGGAUCCGCGCCGCAUUAGCUAGUUGGUAAGGUAACGGCUUACCAAGGCAACGAUGCGUAGCCGACCUGAGAGGGUGAUCGGCCACACUGGAACUGAGACACGGUCCAGACUCCUACGGGAGGCAGCAGUAGGGAAUCUUCCGCAAAGGGCGAAAGCCUGACGGAGCAACGCCGCGUGAGUGAUGAAGGUCUUCGGAUCGUAAAACUCUGUUAUUAGGGAAGAACAAAUGUGUAAGUAACUAUGCACGUCUUGACGGUACCUAAUCAGAAAGCCACGGCUAACUACGUG
rnacentral:rRNA from 1 species